rnacentral:rRNA from 1 species
GACGAACGCUGGCGGCGUGCUUAACACAUGCAAGUCGAACGAAGUGGCGGACGGGUGAGUAACGCGUAAGCAACUUGCCCUUCAGAGGGGGACAACAGUUGGAAAAGAGUGCUAAUACCCCAUACGGAAGAGGGGGAUGGCGGCUGAUUAGCUAGGUGGAGGGGGAACGGCCCACCAAGGCGAGGAUCAGUAGCCGGUCUGGGAGGAUGAACGGCCCCAUUGGGACUGAGACACGGCCCAGACUCCCACGGGAGGCAGCAGUGGGGAAUCUUCCGCAAUGGACGAAAGUCUGACGGAGCAACGCCGCGUGAGUGAUGACGGCCUUCGGGUUGUAAAGCUCUGUUAAUCGGGACGCGGUACCGGAAUAGAAAGCCACGGCUAACUACGUGCCAGCAGCCGCGGUAAUAC